AGCCAUUAGACAUUAUUAUAUGGUUUAACCUGCCCAAUGUUAAUUAUAAAUAAAUGGCCGCGGUACCUUGACCGUGCUAAGGUAGCGUAAUCAGUUGACUUUUAAAUGAAGUCAGGAAUGAAUGGAAGAACCGGGUUUGACUGUCUCUGCAUUACUUUUUUGAAUUUACUUUCUAGGUGAAAAAGCCUAGAGCAAGAAAAGGGACGAGAAGACCCUUAGAAUUUUUUUUAAGAAAAUAUGUUGAUUUUUGUAAUUUUGUUGGGGCGAUAAAGAAAUAAUUAAAACUUUCUUUAAUUACAAGCCGAUUAUGUUAAGUAAGAAUAAAUUACCUGAGGGAUAACAGCAUAAUUCUAAAAUUGAGUUUGUGACCUCGAUGUUGGACUAGGAAACUAGUAGGCUAGCCGUUUACUAUGUUAGGUUCUGUUCGAACUUUUAUUCCUACGUGAUCUGAGUUCAGACCGG
rnacentral:rRNA from 1 species